UUAAAGAUAUUUUAAAAGCAAGAAAUAGAAAGAAUAUAACUUCAAACUAAAGGACCAUCCUUCCCAAGAAAUGUUUCAUGUGGGAUCUUCCCGGAUCAAAGACCAAAUCCAUGUCUCCUGCAUUGGCAGUCAGAUGCUUACCACUGAGCCACCAGGGAAAACCCUCUUCACCACAGAGCUUGCAGGAUUUUAAUUCCCCUACGAGAGGUUGAACCUUGGCCCUCAGCAGUGACAGCACAAAGACCUAACCACUGGACCACCAGGGAAUUCCCAAGAAUGCAUUCCGUAUGUUCUGAGCAAUGAGAGCAAAUUUGUACUCAAGAAUCAUUACAAAGACUGCAAAGUGAA